ensembl:lincRNA
AUGGCCAGCAUGAGGGGGACCAGGGAGCCACUGUGGGCAGGCCUGGCUCUCACUCCCUGCCGUGGCAGAGCCCUGGUGAGCAGCAGCUCCUUCCAGGAGGCCCUCGGGGGCCAUGGAACUGGAAUGCAGAAGCCCUAUCUGUGGCCCACCCCAGACUCUGGAUCAAGAGAGGCUCCUGAAUGCUCACAACAGACUGAGGCCCAGACUGCCCUAUCUAGCCAUCACUGCCCUGCUCAGCAUAGGGGACAGUAUUUCUUCAGCACAAUGGGAAGCAUAAUCCAGCAUAUCCUCAGGGUUUUGGGGGGAUUAUUGGUGGGCAAUGGGGUGGAUGAAAUACUGAGCCAAAUAAGGGAGGUAGGGGAGCAGGCAAAGGCUGUCCUGGAAGCAGAGCCCAGGGCUGGGACUUGCUUUAGAAGGAAUGUGAAAGGGCCCCAUUUGCACAGCCUGCAUCUCCCUGCCACACACAUAUUCAGCUGCCUUGACCAUGCAGUGGUGAGGUGCAGACUGCCCUGGCUCCUUUCUGGGAACUCAGAACAGCCCAAACAUAAUUAUAACCGCAGGUGGUGACACACCUGCCCCUCCUAGCUCUACCCUUUCCCCCACUCUCACAGCCUGAUCCCAAAAGUCAGCUCUCAGCAGGAAGACGGGCAGAAAGAGUCCCCUAUGCUGGGCAUGGAGAGCAGACACACAAGCCAUUUCCAUAUAGGUACCAACAGAGGUGGGUGCCUCAAGGAGCCAAGAGCAGCAGAAUCCUGCCCAGGCCAUGGCAGGGAAACUGAGCAGAUGGGAGUGCACUACCCUCUGACAGGUAUCAAGGCUCUCCUCAGGGAAGCUGGGCCCUUCUUGGAUCUUUGGUCACUUUUAGCAGGUCUUUUCAGGCCCCUGCAAUCUGUCUCUUCCCUGUCUCACCACAAGUCAUCACUGGCCACAGGCAUGGGCCAGAUGCAGCCCAAGUUCAAGAGUGUGCAUUCCUGAGGGCCACACUUCACCCGUGGAGGGACAACACACCAAGUUCUGGUAGUCUCAAAGUACAGCCAGGCAAUACAGGACUGCCUGUGCAGGGGCCAAACAGAAUGUCCCCACACACCUAUGGCUAUCUGGGUGUGUGGCAAGGCCCUCCAAGUGCCUGCAUUCACCACACGAGGAUGCCUCUGAGAUACUGCAGAAUUCUGUGCUUGGACAGGGAUGGAGAGGGACCCUGUGGCAGAAUCUGCCCUCAGGAGGAUCUUGAGCCUUGCUCUGACAGCAGAGGUCAGCCCUUACCACCACCACAGGAAUAAUGAGAGUGGAGACUGCCCCCUACACCAACACAUCUCAGACCAGGAGAGGAGCGACAGGGUGAAUAAAGCCUUUACACCCUCAGAUGCUCAGUGUUCAUUCAUUCGCUCAACAAGUAUUUCUGAGCCCCUUGGGUCAGGGGAGCUUGCAGGGGACAGGACCAGAGUGGGCAGAGGACAUGGUCUCCUGUCCACCUUGGACCAGCUAGAACCAAGUCUGGAAUACAGAAGCCCCCUCAGCCACAGAGUCACAGGGAUGUGAAGAUAGUGUCUCAGACCCAGUCAGGGUUCAUCCAUUCCUUCACCCUGUGAGGCUGGAGGGUGAGCUUGGACACAUCCGCUCAGCAAACAUGAGCAUGCUCACUGUCACCACUGCAUCAUCAUCAUCAACCUAGCAAAGUGGACCCUGCACUUUCUAGCCUGGUCCUGUUUCCAUUUUUGAAGCAGGGGGGAUGAAGUUGCAGAAUGAAGAUGUAGACCCACAGGAACAGUGGCCACCCAACGGUCAUUCAGGAGACUCCAAGGAAGGUGUUGGAGGAGUGCUCCUCGGAGGUCCUAUGUUUCAGGCUUGGUCCCUAUGGUGGUACCUGUGGGAGGUGGUGGACCUUGAGCAGGUGGAAUCUACCAAGGUGCUCAGGUCACUGGGACCUUACCCUCUUCCUCUCUGGCUUCUUGGCCAUGCACUUUCCACUGGAACUUCCAAAACUCUGAGCCAAAAUAAAUCUUUUCUCUAUAAAUUAAUUAUCUUGGGUAUUUUUUAUAGUAACAGAAAGCUAACAUCAGAUAAGCACAUACUGAGAACACAAAAAAGGUAGUGACCUGAACAAGCUGAGAAUGGAGAGCUGAGUGGUGAAGGGGCUCAGCUGGGUGUUGCUCAGGCCCCCAACUCACAUCAGGAUAGCUUUCCCCAUGUCAUGGAGAUGCCUGGCCAUCAUUGCCUAAGGAGCCCCACACCCAGCUGACCUUGGACAAUCUCCAAAGUUCUUUCCUCAUAAUCUUUCAAAAUGUCCAGGGAGGACAUCCAAAAGUGAUUUCCCAACCACUCCUUGGUCAGAGAUGUGCAGAGCCUCCUGAAACAGUCAGCUUUCUGGAUAGCAUAGUGGCCAUCCAGAACAGGGUGACAAUCCCCUAAGAGCCCACUGCCCAAAGGUUGAGGACAGCCAAGGAGCCUGUGGACCAAACAGCCCACAGCAAGGCCUAUUUCCCACUAAUUCCACCUCUCAUGGGCAGCUCCCCACCAAUUUUAGACCUAGAAAGGUGCUGAUUGCAGCCCCUCCC